CAAUAGCGUAUAUUAAAGUUGUUGCAGUUAAAAAGCUCGUAGUUGGAUUUCUGGUGAGAUGGAUUACGUCUAGGUCGAAAGAUCUUGUUCAUGGUUCGUUUUGCCCUUCUUGUCAGGAACCCGCUGAGAUUCGCGUCUUGUCGGUGGAAUGGCAUCGUUUACUGUGAAAAAAUUAGAGUGUUCAAAGCAGGCAUCGCCGUUGAAUACAUUAGCAUGGAAUAAUAAGAUAAGACUUUGGUGGUCUAUUUUGUUGGUUUGCACGCCAAGGUAAUGAUUAAUAGGGAUAGUUGGGGGUAUUCGUAUUCUAUUGCUAGAGGUGAAAUUCUUAAAUUUAUGGAAGACGAACUACUGCGAAAGCAUUUACCAAGGAUGUUUUCAUUAA
rnacentral:rRNA from 1 species